rnacentral:lncRNA from 1 species
CUUCAAUUGGCGAUAUUGUCAACAAAAAACGUACAGAAACUUGUGUGAUAUCGUUCGGCAGUUGUGGUGAAGUUCGUUGUAUGUUUUUAAACGGUUUUUGUGGGUAAAAUGGGUAUUUUUAUUGUGUAAAUUUGUUUGUGAACCAUGGAAUUCGAGACGCCUAGCAAAGAAGCUUUGGUUCGCCUAGUGCAGAAAUGCUUGAGCCAGAAUAGUGAGGGUUUCAUCGAGCGAGAUCAAUUCAUCGAGUUCUGCUCCGAUUUAAGCGUCAGCACAGACGAACUGGACAGCGUUUUUAACGAAUUAGACAAUGACAGAGAUGGUAGAAUCAAUGUUAGCGAUUUUACUUCGACUUUUGAACAAGUAGCGACUUUUAAAUCUGAUAAUACGAGCGGCGAAACAGUGAAUGGUCUUGUUGUCGAUAAAUCAUUAUACGAAUGUCAAGUGAACAAUCUAGAGAGCCCAAUGCAAGUUAUCAGUACGAACGG